rnacentral:rRNA from 1 species
CCGCAGCUCAAGUAGUGACCGAUAUUAUUGGGCCUAAAGCGUCCGUAGCUUGUUGUUUAAGUCUCCGGUGAAAUUGUUGCGCUCAACGUAACAGCCGGCUGGAGAUACUGAACGACUUGUGACCGGGAAGAGGUAGGGGUAUUUCAUGGGUAGGGGUUAAAUCCUAUAAUCCAUGGAGGACCACCUGUGGCGAAAGCGCCUACCUUGAACGGGUCAGACAGUGAGGGACGAAAGCCAGGGGAGCAAACGGGAUUAGAGACCCGAGUAGUCC